rnacentral:rRNA from 1 species
GUAUAAUGGGUCAGCGACUUAUAUUCUGUAGCAAGGUUAACCGUAUAGGGGAGCCGCAGGGAAACCGAGUCUUAACUGGGCGUUAAGUUGCAGGGUAUAGACCCGAAACCCGGUGAUCUAGCCAUGGGCAGGUUGAAGGUUGGGUAACACUAACUGGAGGACCGAACCGACUAAUGUUGAAAAAUUAGCGGAUGACUUGUGGCUGGGGGUGAAAGGCCAAUCAAACCGGGAGAUAGCUGGUUCUCCCCGAAAGCUAUUUAGGUAGCGCCUCGUGAAUUCAUCUUCGGGGGUAGAGCACUGUUUCGGCUAGGGGGUCAUCCCGACUUACCAACCCGAUGCAAACUACGAAUACCGAAGAAUGUUAUCACGGGAGACACACGGCGGGUGCUAACGUCCGUCGUGAAGAGGGAAACAACCCAGACCGCCAGCUAAGGUCCCAAAGUCAUGGUUAAGUGGGAAACGAUGUGGGAAGGCACAGACAGCCAGGAUGUUGGCUUAGAAGCAGCCAUCAUUUAAAGAAAGCGUAAUAGCUCACUGGUCGAGUCGGCCUGCGCGGAAGAUGUAACGGGGCUAAACCAUGCACCGAAGCUGCGGCAGCGACACUAUGUGUUGUUGGGUAGGGGAGCGUUCUGUAAGCCUGCGAAGGUGACCUGUGAGGGUUGCUGGAGGUAUCAGAAGUGCGAAUGCUGACAUAAGUAACGAUAAAGCGGGUGAAAAGCCCGCUCGCCGGAAGACCAAGGGUUCCUGUCCAACGUUAAUCGGGGCAGGGUGAGUCGACCCCUAAGGCGAGGCCGAAAGGCGUAGUCGAUGGGAAACAGGUUAAUAUUCCUGUACUUGGUGUUACUGCGAAGGGGGGACGGAGAAGGCUAUGUUAGCCGGGCGACGGUUGUCCCGGUUUAAGCA